UGCCAGCCGCCGCGGUAAUACGGAGGGCGCAAGCGUUGUUCGGAAUCACUGGGCAUAAAGAGCAUGUAGGCGGUCUUUUAAGUCAGGUGUGAAAUCCCUCGGCCCAACCGAGGAACUGCACCUGAUACUGAAAGACUUGAGGAUGUCAGGGGUAAGUGGAACUCCAGGUGGAACGGUGAAAUGUGUAGAUAUCUGGAGGAACACCGGUGGCGAAAGCGGCUUACUGGGACAUCACUGACGCUGAGAUGCGAAAGCUAGGGUAGCGAACGGGAUUAGAUA
rnacentral:rRNA from 1 species